AACGAACGCUGGCCGCAUGCCUAACACAUGCAAGUCGAACGAGACCUUCGGUCUAGUGGCGCACGGGUGCGUAACGCGUGGGAAUCUGCCCUUGGUUCGGAAUAACAGCGAGAAAUUGCUGCUAAUACCGGAUGAUGACGUAAGUCCAAAGAUUUAUCGCCCAAGGAUGAGCCCGCGUAGGAUUAGCUAGUUGGUGAGGUAAAGGCUCACCAAGGCGACGAUCCUUAGCUGGUCUGAGAGGAUGAUCAGCCACACUGGGACUGAGACACGGCCCAGACUCCUACGGGAGGCAGCAGUGGGGAAUAUUGGACAAUGGGCGAAAGCCUGAUCCAGCAAUGCCGCGUGAGUGAUGAAGGCCUUAGGGUUGUAAAGCUCUUUUACCCGGGUAUGAUAAUGACAGUACCGGGAGAAUAAGCUCCGGCUAACUCCGUGCCAAC
rnacentral:rRNA from 1 species